rnacentral:lncRNA from 1 species
UAUAUUAUAUUCCUCUUUACACAUUCCAUUAAAAAUAUGGUUUUGAAGUUCCCUGAAACCAAUAGAGAUCUACUUUCUUGUAUGUGGUAAGCAGGUGAAGGUUGAAAAUCUUGUCUUGAUGAUGGGAAGCUCGAAGAAGCUCCAUAUGUUCAAGUGUCAGGGAUGGAGAGUCGCGCACUGCAGCUCUGCUGUUACAUCGGUUAGUAUUGAAAGAAGAGCACCCGUUAAUUGUUUUCAAGGACUUUAUAUUGCUAGGCAGUUAUAUUGGAGGUUAAAGUCACGGUGGAGGCAACUUUUGUCAUGGCGGAGAAGCUCAGUCCGCUUUAGCUAUGAUCCUUACAGCUACUCUCAGAAUUUUGAUGAUGGUUGCUCUAAGGAACACCCAUCACCUUUAGCUCCUCAGUAAUUUUCAUCUUUUUCUUAGAGCAUUAUAAUCAACAAGUAACGAAAGGGUUCCGGCUUCAGUUCCCUGCUGACGCAUGAAGAACGGCAGAUUGCUCCUCCUCUCAGGGGUCGUUGGUUGGAAUACGAUUUAUACCGGUAUAAGUUAUAUUGAGAUAAGUUGUGUUGGGAUUGUUGUUUAUCCAUUGUUUGGUAUGCUGUAUUAAGAAUGACAAUUGCAUAAUUUCUAAGAACAAGGUAUAAGUUAUACUAGUGUUAAUUACCCCACCUUCUAUAAAGUAUAAGCUAUCCCAGUGUUAAAAUUAACACCGAGAUAACUUAUACCUGGUUUGCUAACCAAACAGAGUAUUAAGGUGGUAUUAAAUUUUUAUACCACCAUUAUACCUUCUUAUACCUCAUACCAAACGACCCCUUAAUAUCAGGACUUCACCGGUAAAACAAUUUGGCAAGUUGGGUAGAAAAUUUGGUGAUGUUUCCAUUACAUAAAGUUUUACAUACAGCAUAAUUUUCUCAAUUUAUCCACUUGAGUACUAUAAAUUUCUCUGUACUUUGGUCUUAUAUAUUGAUUCUGUAGUUAGAUCUGAAAAUAUAUGUAAAUGUUUAAAAGUGGAGACUUUCGCAUUCACAGCUUAAUACUGAAUCAGAGCUAGUUGAACUAUGGCACUAG